rnacentral:rRNA from 1 species
ACGCUCGACACCUACGGGGGGCAGCAGUGGGGAAUAUUGCACAAUGGGGGAAACCCUGAUGCAGCGAUGCCGCGUGAAGGAAGAAGUAUCUCGGUAUGUAAACUUCUAUCAGCAGGGAAGAAAAUGACGGUACCUGACUAAGAAGCCCCGGCUAACUACGUGCCAGCAGCCGGCGGUAAUCUGGAGGCGGGGCUGGCAAGGC